rnacentral:tRNA from 1 species
AGUCUCGUAGCUCAAUGGUAGAGCAUCAUCUUUACACGGUGAGGGUUGCGCGCUCAAAUCGCGUCGGGACUA